rnacentral:tRNA from 1 species
UUGCGAGUGGCAGAGUGGUAAUGUUCCCGGCUGUUAACCGGUGGACCCCGAAGGGGGCGGAGGUUCGAUCCCUCCCUCGCGAGCCA